UUUUUUUUUUUUUUUUUUAAGCAAGCAAAGUGUUUAUUACUGGAAAGCAGAUAGCUCCCAGGGCUGCUGGGAGCGGGAAGAAGAGUCCCCUUCUUCUGUUGUCCUUUAGGGUUUUUAUUCCUUAAAGAUGGGGGGUACCAACAUGGGGUCCAGAAAGAUGUGGUUUUCUCCCAUUGGCCUUGCUCAAUUACCUAUAUCAGUCCUUGUCCAAUAGGGUCUUAGGGGUGGGAGGUGAUGUAUUUACAGUUCUUGGUACAUAAGAAGUGUUGAAUAAGUGUGUGGUAGGUAUUACUUUUGUUGGCGACCAUCUCCACUGUCCUCUCUUACCUUACUCCAGGUAAUCCUCAAAUGUGAGCCUGGCUGUCUGUGUUCUGCCCAUCCCCCUCCUACAUACUCUCUAAAUGCUUCAGUUUUCACUUAGAGCCAUUCAAGAAGUGUCCAGCUGGGGAGGCCUGGAGCAGAGAUCAUUAUCCUCUUUAGCCCAAAGCUGGAGAUCUGGCCCCUGGUUGCAAUGCUCAGCCAAGAAGAAGGCAACAGGCUUCCUGGGAGCUGGGCCUGUUCCCAACCAUCCCUUUAGCCUAGGGAGGGGCCCCCAAGAAGAACACUGCAGUCCAAGCUCAACCUUUGGAAAGAGCCACAGCCUCCCUGUUUGGAAAGAUACUCCCCAAGCAAGUCCUGUCCAUGGCCUCCUUGAAAUUUACUUUGAGAAAGAUACCAAUGGGUGUUCCCACCUCAGGAUUGGAACUCAUAUGCUCCAAAAUACAGGGGAUGUAUGAUUCUGGAAGCUCCUUGGAAAUUCAAAACCUCAAGACCCAUAUAGAAGAGGCAGACAUCUGCAACUCUAGAUGAGUGAAGACAGUUUUCUCUCCAGGAUAAGAACAAGCAGCCUGGCCCAGAGAAUUCUUGCAGAGCCACUCAAGCCUGUGUUUCAGUAAGACGACAACCCAGAGAAAACCCAGCAGCAACAAGACUCCUUGGAGAGUGUUCUGUUGGGAUGGGAAUGAAUGAGAAGCAUCUUUUAGGGAAGAGGCAAUGAGGAUGACACUGCAUCUGUGUAGUGUUUUGAUGGUACUUACCAAUUUUAUAUUUAUAUUGUCUGCUUUUAUUUUUAAAACAGCUCUGUUAAUUCAGUAGACCAGGCACAUUUAAUCCCAUAUUACAGUGGGGAAAACUGAUAUUUAGAAGGUCCAGCUGAUUUUCCAGACUUGCAUUUAAUUACACGCAGACUUGAAAUUUUGUUUGCACCUAUAAUGCUUUUUAAUGGCCCAUCCAACCUCCCAGCUCCCAGCUGAACUUAGACUCAAUGGAAGAAGCUGAAAAUCAGUAGGAUGCCUGCCUUCAAUGACAGAAGCACAUAGAUUGUUGUGGUUCAAAUCUUCCUUCUUAUGAAAUGUCUCUUCCAGAUGUUUUCAUAAGAAGACUCAAAAAUUAUAUCCUGUAGAAGCUAAAUUUAAAAUCUCUUCCAACUUCCAAUAAUUAGUUUCAAAUAUGUGGCUGCUAUUUCUUAUGAAUUUGCCUUCUGAAAUAUAUAUGACAGAAUGUCACCUUAAGAAAAUAAUUUUCUCUAAAAAGUAUUUGAAAAGUUGUCUCCUAUAAUUUGAAACAAUUUGCUUCAUGAUUGACUUUUGGAAUGGAUGAAGGGCACUUUCUUCCUGAAAUGUUUCUUAAAAGUCAUACAUAUUUACUGACUUGUAAGCUUUGACUUGCACAUGAUGAAUUUAGCUUUGAUUGACUUGAUUGUUUGAUUGGUUUAUCAGCUGGGUAAUUUGCAAAGUGAGUUUAUAAUCACAUACUUUUAUUCAGCAAUAAUACCUCUCCUGAAGUCAGCUUCUUCACUCCUGUUUCUUUCCUUUCCUUUCUUUUUUCUUUUCUUUUCUUUUUUCUUUUCUUUUCUUCUCUCUUUUGACAGCACCUGGGCAUGCGGAAGGAAGUUCUCAGGCCAGGGAUCGAACCAACACCAUUGCAGUAAUCAGAGCCUAUGCAGUGACUAUUCCAGAUCCUUAACCUGCUGAGCCACAAGAGAACUCCCACUCUUGUUUCUUAAGAGAUUUUUAAAGACAUUGGCAAUAAGACAAUCCUUUCUGUUGGAAUAAGAGGAGUAGCAGUGUACAUUUGGAAGGUUUAUGGGAUUUAGAUCUAAUUUUGAUGCCAAACUUACUAAAUCCAUUCAUUCAUUCAUUCAUCUGAAAAAGCAUCCUAUCUGAUAUGCCCAGCAUUGCUAUCUAGGCAUAGAUGACAAUGAAUAAAACUCAUGGGUCCUGCCCUUGAAGAAUUUACAAUCUAGCAAUUUUACUCACUGUGUGUCCUAGGCAAGUUACAAUUUGUCCCUGAGAUCCAUUUUAAACUGUAAAUUAUACAAUAAUGGAUACUAAAAUACUAAAACGGGAAAAUAUGUUUUCUUCUCAAGACUGUGGUAAAAAAUUAUUAAAAUAGCAUAAGGCACCUGGUUCACGGCUGGUGGUCAAGUAAACGCGGAUAUGUGUCCUACUUAAUUAAAUCGGGUCCAGCAGCAGAGGGCAGCAGAAUCACCUCUGCAGGCUCAGAAAAAUCCCUGCAGUGUAGGUUCGCCCUCACUGUGCUGCUCUCCCAGCUUCCCUGUUACUUGGCUUUACUCACUGGUAUCACCUCUUCCAGUCUUGGCAGAGCACUUUGCAUUACGGAUCAAGGUCUCCUCCUCGACCCUUCCCGAACCCUUGGCUUCCCUAAAUCUCCACCAUCUCUCUCAGCACUCUUACUGCUUCCCAGCUCCUUUCUUCUCUCCUCCUCCUCCUCCAUACGGGGACUAUCUCCAUGCACAUGGCACCCACGUCUUCACUGGCCGUAACCCUUCUUCCACUCACCAUCCAGUUCCAUCUGUCUGACAUGCAGGCUGGCCUCCCGCUGAACAAUUCCAGAAUCUUCUCUUCAAAGGGGCCCUCCUUCUCUACCCUUUUGAUUUUGAUUUAUGAUGAUGAAUCUUUUCAUACCGUAGACAAAUGAUCGUCAAAUGUUGACUUGGCCCAGUCUCCUGAAUCUGUCCUCGCCUUUUCUUCCCCAUUACCUUUGUGCAUCGUCUCAUGCCUCUUACUUGGGCUAUAGCAAAUGGGCCCUUGCUCUGUCUUCCUCCAUCCCACCUUGCUUAGACUACUAGAUGCAACUCGAUUCCUAAAGCACACCUCUGAUCACCUUGCUUCCUUGCUCAGAAACCUUUGAUGACUCCCCAAAGCAGACAAAGUCAUGUCGAGGAGUUUCCUCAGUCUGACACCUGGGCAGCUCUUCACAAUCUGACUUCAGCUGACCUUUCUGUCUUCUCUCUUUGGGGCUCUUUAACCUCUUCCCCACACUCCUUCAGGUUAUGAGCAUUGAUCACAGGAGCACACAUCUGUCAUUAGCAUGGGGGCUCUGAAUGGCAGAGAGGAUGCUAUCAAGUCAUAAAACUAAGAGCCCAGUUUGGCACAUUCAGGAAACUCACCAAAGGUUGGAGAGGCGUGAACAAAGGGGAUCAUGUGUGGGGUGUGACUGGUGAGGAGGCAGGGCCAUCCACUCAGGGCUUUAGGGAGACCCAGUGGCCAAUUCUGCACUUUGUCCUAAAAGCAAUGGAAAACCAUGGGAUGGUUUUAAAUGUUUUGCAGGAUUGAAAUCUCAUUUUUUAUUUUUUCCUACUUAUGUUUUUUUUUUGUUUGGUUUGGUUUGGUUUGGUUGCACCUGUGACCUGUGAAAGUUCCCGAGCCAGGGACUGAACCUGUACCACAGCUAUAAUCAGAGCCACAGCAGUGAUGGGCUGGAUCCUUAACCUGCUGAGCCACGAGGGAACUCCUUUUUUUUUUUUCCCCAGUUUUGGCUACCCCUCAGCAUAUGGAGCUCCCAGGCCUGGGAUCAGAUCCAAGCUGCAGUCAUGACCUAAGUCAUAGCUGCAGCAAUACCAGAUCUUUAACCCACUGUGCCAGGCCAGGGAUCAAACCUGCCUCCCAGUGCUCCUAAGACACUACUGAUCACAUUGUGCCAUAGCAAGAGGUCCUUCAUUAGUUUUAAAAAAAAAAUUUUAUUGAAAUAUAUUUGAUUUACAAUGUGGUGUUAAUUUCUGCUGUGCAGCAGUGAUUCAGGUAUACAUAUAUAUAGUCUUUUUCAUACUCUUUCCAUUAUGAUUUAUCCAUUAUGAUUUACACUAAGAUCUUGUUGUUUAUCCAUUCUAUGUCUAAUAAUUUGCCUCUGCCCAUCCCAAGCCCCAAAUCCUACUCUCUCCCACCUGUCCCCUUUGGCAACUACAAGUCUGUUCUCUACGUGUGUGAGUCUGUUUCUGGUUUGUAGAUAGGUUCAUUUUGCCAUAUUUUAUAUUCCACAUAUAAGUGAUAUUUGUCUUAUAUUUCUUUUUUUAUUACUCAGUGAAUUUUAUUAUGUGUAUGGUUGUACAACAAUCAUCACAACCAAAUGUUACAUUUGUCUCAUAUUUCUGACAACUUCAUUUAGUAGGAUAAUCUCUAGGUCCAUCCAUGUUGCUGUAAAUGUCAUUAUUUCAUUCUUUUUAUGGUUGGGUAGUAUCCCAUUAUAUAUAUGUACCACAUCUUCUUUGUCUAGUCAUCUAUCCAUAGACAUUUAGGUUGUUUCCAUAUCUUGGCUAUUGUAUAUAAUGCUUCUAGGAACAUUGGGAUGCAUGCAUCUUUUUGAAUCAUGGUUGUGUCUGGGUUUAUGGUCAGGAGUGGGGUUUUUGGCUCAUAUGGCAACUUUGUUUUUAGUUUUUUGAGGAACAUCCAUACUGUUUUCCCUAGUGGCUGCACCAAUUUACAUUCCCAUCAACAGUGUAAGAGGUUCCCUUUUUCUAUGCCCUCUCCAGCAUUCAUUAUUUGUAGACUUUUUAAUGAUGGCCACAGAAUCUAAAAUCAUCCUGCAAGCAGAUAAGCUCCUCAAGAAGGAGGAGCUUUAGUUUUGAUAGCCCUCAGAGUGCCUGGAACAGAGUCUCCCAUCACACCUGAACAAAAGGAAUAAGAGCAGAUACAAAGAGGGGGAAGUGACAAGAAAAGAGCAGAUAGGGAAAGCCAGUUACAUUAAUGGAGAGAUGAAAGUCAUUUGAGAUGUAUGUAUCAAAUAACGAGGCCAGGGAUCAAACCCACAGUCUCAUGGUUACUGGUCAGAUUCAUUUCUGCUGUGCCACAGUGGGAACUUCCUGUUGCCAUACUUUUUAAUUACUAAAAGUUCUAUUUGGUUCUGUUUUCAAGGUCAGCCUGAUCCUUUUUUUUUAAAGAAUCUUGUACUUUUUCCUUAAGACUUUCUUUUAUAUAUUUAAUCCUUUAAAUCCUUUUGAAGAUCAUUUAUAUUCAAGAAUUAUAAUUUUUAAAGUUCUAUUUCUGUCUUUAGUACUGUUGGCUCUUUUUCAUAGUAUUGUUUCCUCCUAGGUUUUUCAGUUUUAGACUGUUAACUUGGCCUCACUGGAAUUUAAUCUCUCAAAAUCCCUCCAGAGGCACAUUAAGGGGUUGUUCUUCAAGAGAGGUGUUGCUUUUGCUUUUGUAAUGUACUCCAGGAGCAUCACCAUUUACACACCACUUUUAUGCUCUUAUCUCAAUUUAAAGUUUUCUACUUUUUCCCCAUAGCAUGGAUUUGAAUACCAGAUGGUUAUGUGGCUAUAAAUCCUCAGGGAUAUCUUAAAAAAAAAAAAAAA
rnacentral:lncRNA from 1 species